GAUAAUUGGACCCAAUUGCAAAAUAUCUGCACUUGUACAAAACCCUGCAUCCUGCUUUAUUUUAAAGCUAGUUUUCACUGUCUACAGGCCAAAAUGGCCGCAAAGAACCAAUAUUUUAUACUUGAGCUGGUAACUUUGGCAGCAGUAAACAAGAAUUACAACAGCAUAUUUAUUACAAUUGAUGGGAAUAAUAUUUAUUAAAAUGACAUUUCGUGAGGCAAUGAAAUGCAUGUAUACAAGUUUAUGAAUGAUUAAUCUACUGAUUCUGACCCAUUAAGAAAUGGAUUUGUCCAUUUGCCAGAAAUAAUUACUCAAACGAAAAUAAUGAGAUUAUGGUCCCAAUAAGUGAAGGCAAUCAGAUAUCUUGCUUGUAUAAUAAUCUGGUUGGAUAGUGCUGGAGGGAUCUUCUAGAGUGGAUUGAUUUGUCACACCUGCAGUUUUAGCAGUUUGAAACAUCAUAAAUGUUUAUGAUGUUUGGAAUUUAUGUUAGUUUCAUUGUCAAGAAAAUGAAAAUUGUAAAGAAAGAGAAAUCAAUUCACCUGAGAGAACAAGAAGAGUUU
rnacentral:misc_RNA from 1 species